rnacentral:tmRNA from 1 species
GGGAAUGUUUUGGUUUCGACAGGAUAGAAAACUUAUUACUAGCAAGUAAGCGGGAGCUUUAAAAUCCAACUAAAAUAUAAUCGGAAACGAUAAUUACGCAUUAGCUGCCUAAGAUAGCAGCUCAUCACUUUUGGAAAUGCCGUUUUUCCACUAGAUGAUGUUACUUUUUACGGCUUACUCAAAUGUAUGAUUAUGUCACUUGAGGAAAAUUUAUAAUCUCGCUUUUAGACUUUUGUUUGUUUAAUAUCUAAAAGUUAAAAAGAUAAAUAAACUAAACUUGUAGAAGGUAAUAAAGACUUUUUAUUUUGGACACGGGUUCGAUUCCCGUCAUUUCCACCA